GUGUAAAAUGCUCAGAAUAGUGGUGGUGGUACAAAGGUGAUACUAUUAUUCUCCCCCUUUUACAGAUGAGAACUGAGGAUCAGCUCUGCCUUCAGAGCUGGAACCCUGCCCAUGCCACCACAGCGGCAGUGAUGCUGGAGCCACUCACCUGGAACAAACCACUGGGCUCACUGCACAUGUCAGUGGCCCUGCGGACUUCAUAAAGACUGCUUUCACUGAUACCAUCUCUCAGCUUAUUAAGGCCUUAAAAAUAAUAAAAAGAAGAAGACCUUCAAUAAGUAUCUGCUUAGUGAAACCUUACUGGAAUUCUCCAAAAAGCUCCAGAGUAGCUUCAUCUCUCAUCCUACAGCCCAGGAUCCCCUCUUCAAGUCUUUGAAGCCCUCCCAGCCCGCUAAGAAUGAGUCCGGCCCCGCCCAGCAGGUCACAGGCCUGGGCUCGUUAAUAAUUCACAAGUAAACAGGCCCAUCCACAAAGAGCCCUCGUAGAGGGCUGAACAAGUCACAGUUCUUCAGUAUUCCCUGGAGAGGGGCCCUGAGGGAGGACUAGGCCUGCUCCUUGGGCCGGGCCCUCCCUCGCCAUGGACUCUGGCCACUACUAGCUGUGUAACCUUGGACAAGUCACUACCUCAUCUGGCCCUCAGUUUAUCUCUCCCCACAAAAUAUAAAGGAGGGAGCAGACUGGACCAGGAGGUCAAAGGCACUUCCCGCUCUGAUGUUCUCGGCUCUGGGAUCUGAGCUCUUCUACUAAAGUCUGGUCUCCAGGAGCUGCUAAGCUUGGGUCUAAGGAAGGAGCCCCUGGUCAGGCACAAGGGACCAAGAACAAUUUUGACUGAAAAGAAGAUGCAGAAUGCUAAUGAGGGGCUUCUGGCACUGAGUGGCAUCCUGUCAGAAGUUAGAACUUGGGCUACAGAUUCAGGAAGAUCCAGCUGGAUUCCUGGCCCCGCCAUGUCCUAGCCCUGUAGUCCCAAGCUGGGAAGGGAAUGGUGCAGGGAGCAGGUUUGCAAGCCAAGCCAUAUACGCCAGCUCUGGCACCCUGAACCAAUGAUUUCACCUCUGAAAUGGGGACACUGAUGGCAGCAACCUCAAUGGGUUGUUGCAAGGAUUAAAUGAGGUAAUAUACAGGCA